CCUAGGGGGGAAGAUAUCUCGGCGUCAAACAUCAGGCUAAUUUAUCCCCACCACAUGAGAAGAAAACAAACAUUAUGCAUAAAAACAUACCUGUUCAUUACUCGCAGUUGACUAUUGUGGCUGUCGUCCAAUGUAUGCGGUGAAUUGGACGCGCUGUGUAGAAUAUGCCAUCGCUAGUCUGUGCCGCGGAAAGCUCCGUCUGUUGCCGCUACCAUGUUGUUUCUACGCCACGACAGAGAGGAAGAGGCGAAGCGAGAGGUUUUACUCCGCCCAAAAUCUGUCCACGGAAAUAAACCCACGAAGACCUGAGCCCUAGGACCAUGCCUCAGGACUACCUGGCAUGAUGACUCCUUGCUGUCCCCAGUCCACCUGGCCGUGCUGCUGCUCCAGUUUCAACUGUUCUGCCUGCUGCUAUGGAACCCUGACCUGUCCACCGGACGUGCUACCUGUCCCAGACCUGCUGUUUUCAACUCUCUAGAGGCCGCAGGAGCGGUAGAGAUACUCUUAAUGAUCGGCUAUGAAAAGCCAACUGACAUUUACUCCUGAGGUGCUGACUUGCUGCACCCUCAGCAACUAGUGUGAUUAUUAUUAUCUGACCCUGCUGGUCAUUUAUGAACAUUUGAACAUCUUGGCCAUGUUCUGUUAUCAUCUCCACCCGGCACAGCCAGAAGAGGACUGGACACCCCUCAUAGCCUGGUUCCUCUCUAGGUUUCUUCCUAGGUUUUGGCCUUUCUAGGGAGUUUUUCCUAGCCACCGUGCUUCUACACCUGCAUUGCUUGCUGUUUGGGGUUUUAGGCUGGAUUUCUGUACAGCACUUUGAGAUAUCAGAUGAUGUAAGAAGGGCUAUAUAAAUAAAUUAGAUUUGAUGUUA